rnacentral:rRNA from 1 species
AGUGAACGCUGGCGGUAGGCCUAACACAUGCGAGUCGAACGGCAGCACAGUAAGAGCUUGCUCUUACGGGUGGCGAGUGGCGGACGGGUGAGGAAUACAUCGGAAUCUACUUUUUCGUGGGGGAUAACGUAGGGAAACUUACGCUAAUACCGCAUACGACCUACGGGUGAAAGCAGGGGAUCUUCGGCCCUUGCGCGAUUGAAUGAGCCGAUGUCGGAUUAGCUAGUUGGCGGGGUAAAGGCCCACCAAGGCGACGAUCCGUAGCUGGUCUGAGAGGAUGAUCAGCCACACUGGAACUGAGACACGGUCCAGACUCCUACGGGAGGCAGCAGUGGGGAAUAUUGGACAAUGGGCGCAAGCCUGAUCCAGCCAUACCGCGUGGGUGAAGAAGGCCUUCGGGUUGUAAAGCCCUUUUGUUGGGAAAGAAAAGCAGCAGGUUAAUACCCCGCUGUUCUGACGGUACCCAAAGAAUAAGCACCGGCUAACUUCGUG